rnacentral:rRNA from 1 species
GAUGAACGCUAGCUACAGGCUUAACACAUGCAAGUCGAGGGACCGGCGCACGGGUGAGUAACACGUAUCCAACCUGCCCUUUACUCGGGGAUAGCCUUUCGAAAGACAGAUUAAUACCCGAUAUAAAGGAUGGGGAUGCGUUCCAUUAGGUUGUUGGUGAGGUAACGGCUCACCAAGCCUUCGAUGGAUAGGGGUUCUGAGAGGAAGGUCCCCGACAUUGUAACUGCGGUACGGUCCAAACUGCGAGGGGAGGCAGCAGUGAGGAAUAUUGGUCGAUGGGCGCUGGCCUGAACCAGCCAAGUAUAGUGAAGGAGGAAGGCUUAUGGGUCGUAAACUUCUUUUAUAGAAGAAUAGGUAUUAUAUGAAUAAGGAUCGGCUAACUCCGUGCCAGCAGCCGCGGUAAUAC